AUACGGAGGGUCCGAGCGUUAUCCGGAAUCAUUGGGUUUAAAGGGUCCGUAGGCGGGAAUCUAAGUCAGUGUUGAAAUCUUGCAGCUCAACUGUAAAAUUGCCAUUGAUACUGGAUUUCUUGAAUUAGUGUGAAGUGGUUAGAAUGUGUAGUGUAGCGGUGAAAUGCAUAGAUAUUACACAGAAUACCAAUUGCGAAGGCAGAUCACUAACACUAUCUUGACGCUGAGGGACGAAAGCGUGGGGAGCGAACAGGAUUAGAAACCCCAGUAGUCC
rnacentral:rRNA from 1 species